rfam:Penicillium polonicum strain IBT 4502 PENPOL_contig019, whole genome shotgun sequence.
GCCUCUUUAGCUCAGUGGUAGAGCGUACCACUCGUAUGUAUAUCAACUUACUCAAUGGUAAGGUCGUCGGAUCAAUCCCGACAGGAGGCA